rnacentral:rRNA from 1 species
GAUGAACGCUGGCGGCGUGCUUAACACAUGCAAGUCGAACGGUGAAGGCGGAGCUUGCUCUGCUGGAUCAGUGGCGAACGGGUGAGUAACACGUGAGCAAUCUGCCCCUGACUCUGGGAUAAGCUCUGGAAACGGCGUCUAAUACUGGAUACGAGCUGCGAAGGCAUCUUCAGCAGCUGGAAAGAACUUCGGUCAGGGAUGAGCUCGCGGCCUAUCAGCUUGUUGGUGAGGUAACGGCUCACCAAGGCGUCGACGGGUAGCCGGCCUGAGAGGGUGACCGGCCACACUGGGACUGAGACACGGCCCAGACUCCUACGGGAGGCAGCAGUGGGGAAUAUUGCACAAUGGGCGAAAGCCUGAUGCAGCAACGCCGCGUGAGGGACGACGGCCUUCGGGUUGUAAACCUCUUUUAGCAGGGAAGAAGCGAAAGUGACGGUACCUGCAGAAAAAGCGCCGGCUAACUACGUG